GGGGGAGUAACAACUGAUUCAACA
rnacentral:misc_RNA from 1 species